GCCCUCUUGUGGCACAGUGGGUCAGUGCGUCUGGCUGUUAACCAGAAGGUUGGUGGUUCGAGCCCACCCAGAGAUGGCU
rnacentral:tRNA from 1 species